rnacentral:tRNA from 1 species
GGAGAGAUGGCCGAGCUGGCUGAAGGCGGUCGCCUGCUAAGCGAUUAUACAUGUGUUGAGCGUGUAUCGUGGGUUCAAAUCCCACUCUCUCCG